rnacentral:piRNA from 1 species
UGCCGAAACACAUUGCAUUCAUAAUGGA